UACGGAGGGUGCAAACGUUGCUCGGAAUUAUUGGGCGUAAAGCGCACGUAGGCGGUCGGCUAUGUCGGAUGUGAAAGCCUCGGGCUUAACCCGAGAAGUGCAUCCGAAACUGGCCGGCUUGAGUACGGAAGAGGGUCUCGGAAUUCCCGGUGUAGAGGUGAAAUUCGUAGAUAUCGGGAGGAAUACCAGUGGCGAAGGCGGAGACCUGGGCCGAUACUGACGCUGAGGUGCGAAAGCGUGGGGAGCAAACAGG
rnacentral:rRNA from 1 species